GUUUUAUUUCAUUCACGUUUAUUAACGUGACAUUACGUUUCAGGAAAAAAACAAAAACAUGUACAUAAUUUUUUUCCCCCCUACUCUUGACAAAAGGCAGAGCUAUCCAAGGUACCCUUAUGCAUGCACGUGAGUAGAGCGCUUCCGUUGGUUCCUGGCAGAUGAAGCGCCAGGAGCUGAAGAGGACCUUGAGAAAGAAGAUGCAUACAAAGGACAUUUUAAGUCAAGUAAAAUCUACCUUCACCUGCCCUCCCUGGCCACUGGAAUACAAGUGGAACAGUGACAGUCUGGGGUCUUUGCAAAAUAUGCAAAAUACAUAAAUAAAAUAUCAUUAAAAGAUGAAGUGCUUUAGGGGUCUGUCGUAAUCUCAGAAUUGGGUAUUAUGAACCUGUUGAAUUCCUGCAGAACCACAAGUCAUAGAUGAUACACAACGAUCCUCUUGUUAAACAGAACGAUUUUCUGCAUCCCGAACUGGGACACCAAACUCUGAAACUUGAUCUGGAAUGGAGAAAACAGUCUCACAUAUAAUGAAUUAAACCGGGUAAAACUGGGGCUUUAUAUCUGGCAGUGUUUAGGAGAUACGGUCACAGUAUGAGCAGUGUUUAGGAGAUACGGUCACAGUGUGAGCAGUGUUUAGGAGAUACGGUCACAGUAUGAGCAGUGUUUAGGAGGUACAGUCACAGUAUAAGCAGUGUUUAGGUGAUACGGUCACAGUAUGAGCAGUGUUUAGGAGAUACGGUCACAGUGUGAGCAGUGUUUAGGAGAUACUGUCACAGUAUAAGCAGUGUUUAGGAGGUACAGUCACAGUAUGAGCAGUGUUUAGGAGAUACGGUCACAGUAUGAGCAGUGUUUAGGAGAUACGGUCACAGUGUGAGCAGUGUUUAGGAGAUACGGUCACAGUAUGAGCAGUGUUUAGGAGAUACGGUCACAGUAUGAGCAGUGUUUAGGUGAUACGGUCACAGUAUGAGCAGUGUUUAGGAGAUACGGUCACAGUGUGAGCAGUGUUUAGGAGAUACGGUCACAGUAUGAGCAGUGUUUAGGAGGUACGGUCACAGUGUGAGCAGUGUUUAGGAGAUACGGUCACAGUAUGAGCAGUGUUUAGGUG